ACACUCCUGCGGGAGGCAGCAGUGGGGAAUAUUGCACAAUGGGCGCAAGCCUGAUGCAGCCAUGCCGCGUGUAUGAAGAAGGCCUUCGGGUUGUAAAGUACUUUCAGCGGGGAGGAAGGCGAUAAGGUUAAUAACCUUGUCGAUUGACGUUACCCGCAGAAGAAGCACCGGCUAACUCCGUGCCAGCAGCCGCGGUAAUACGGAGGGUGCAAGCGUUAAUCGGAAUUACUGGGCGUAAAGCGCACGCAGGCGGUCUGUCAAGUCGGAUGUGAAAUCCCCGGGCUCAACCUGGGAACUGCAUUCGAAACUGGCAGGCUAGAGUCUUGUAGAGGGGGGUAGAAUUCCAGGUGUAGCGGUGAAAUGCGUAGAGAUCUGGAGGAAUACCGGUGGCGAAGGCGGCCCCCUGGACAAAGACUGACGCUCAGGUGCGAAAGCGUGGGGAGCAAACAGGAUUAGAUACCCCGGUAGUCCCAUG
rnacentral:rRNA from 1 species